CCUCUCCGUUCCUUUUCUCGAUACAUGAACGCAUCUACACGGGCGCAGGUACAUGCGCACGCCCACGGAGCGGCGCGCUCGAUCUCUCUCCCUCUCUGUGUCCUGGCCCCCUCCCCUUCGCACCUCUAGAUGAAGGCAAUACUCCAGGUGGGGCCGGCGCAGUUCUUCAUCGAAGGCGCGACCUUCCACUUCCUCUGCGUAGAUAUUCAACAAACUCUUUCGGCGAUCGUGAAGCUGCAGAAGUGCAACAUCUCCCUCAAGCUGCACGUCGACGAGCUGGAAACGCGUCUGGCAGAGGAUGCGCGCCGGCUGAGAGCAGCCGGUGUCGCGCUGCCCGGCGAUGACGACGACACCACUGCAGGAAGCUCGCUGCUCUCCCGCGUAGGCGCCGCUUCUCGGUCGUCAUGGCAGUGGCGCGCUUACGUAAAAUCGGCGGCGCCCAUGCCACGCUACGUGUGUCCCACAACUGGCCAGCGACAGCCUGUCUUUCACAGAGGACCGCUCUUCAUAUUCUCCACAGCGUCCUUCGAUGCAGCGGAGGCGGUGGUGCAGCGCCUGCAGACGCGUCUGCUGGAGCAGCGCCUCCUGCUAGACGAGAUAGAGCUGCAGGCACUGUGCAGCGGCGGUGACGGCUAUAGCGUCUCCGACGCGCUGACGCGUGUGUUACCGCUCCCCAUUAUGGAGCUUAGCACGUGCUUGUCCACGUCCGCCAAUGUGAUGCCGGCGUACGACGCGGAAGGAAAUCGCCGCCGUUGCUUCAUGACAGUUGUAGGGGCAUCCGCGAAUGGGCGGUAUCGAUCAUGUGUAUUGGGAGGAGGAGAGGUGGUCGCGCGCGGAGACGCGAGAGAAUGCACCUGCGAAGAACACCCGCUCUGCACAUGUGUCGGGCACACGUGAGCACGGACGGAAUGCGUGCGUGUGCAUGUGUGUGUGUGUGUGCACGUGCGUCUACCACUCCCCUGAGAUGUUCUUUACUUUUCACUGUCGAACCCCAUCCCUUCUCUCUUUCUCUCUUGCCCUCCUGUGCCGUAGUGCACGUCCCUCUCGCACACACGCACACGCGCACGCUGACUUUCUGACGCUGCCUUUUCUCUCAGACUGUGAUGCACGCGCCGUUGGACAUACCGGCGUGGAUGCGCACGUGUGUGUGUGUGUGUGUAUGUGUGGUGUGGGCAUGUGGACGAGAGUCCUCAAAAAC
rnacentral:misc_RNA from 1 species